UACGUAGGGGGCAAGCGUUGUCCGGAAUCAUUGGGCGUAAAGAGCGCGUAGGCGGUCCGGUAAGUCCGCUGUGAAAGUCAAGGGCUCAACCCUUGAAUGCCGGUGGAUACUGUCGGGCUAGAGUCCGGAAGAGGCGAGUGGAAUUCCUGGUGUAGCGGUGAAAUGCGCAGAUAUCAGGAGGAACACCGGUGGCGAAGGCGGGUCUCUGGGCCGAUAUUGACGCUGAGGAGCGAAAGCGUGGGGAGCGAACAGG
rnacentral:rRNA from 1 species